UACGUAGGUCCCGAGCGUUGUCCGGAUUUAUUGGACGUAAAGCGAGCGCAGGUGGUUUAUUAAGUCUGGUGUAAAAGGCAGUGGCUCAACCAUUGUAUGCAUUGGAAACUGGUAGACUUGAGUGCAGGAGAGGAGAGUGGAAUUCCAUGUGUAGCGGUGAAAUGCGUAGAUAUAUGGAGGAACACCGGUGGCGAAAGCGGCUUUCUGGACUGAAACUGACGCUGAGGCACGAAAGCGUGGGGAGCGAACAGG
rnacentral:rRNA from 1 species